rnacentral:misc_RNA from 1 species
AAGUCGUAACAAGGUUUCCGUAGGUGAACCUGCGGAAGGAUCAUUAACACGUAUCCAACGUUAAACCCCCCUGUGAACCUUCAUUGUGCUCCCACGCUUUGUUAGAAAGUGGCAAUCCCUGGUAAAUCAUCGCCGAACAGUUUUGAUUCAGGGACUUCUGCGAAGAGGGUGAAUGAGGCGAGGCAAUGGACCUGGCAUUCCUCUGCUUGUUGGUGUCUGAAAGUGUCACUAACUCUGUACGAAUGGCGCAGUCAGCGGCCACCAAACUCGAACAACUGUUAACAAUGGAUAUCUUGGUUCUC